rnacentral:lncRNA from 1 species
GUGGGUUGCUUCCUCUGAUAUACUGCAAAAUAAUGGAGGAGGAGAGAGGAGUGAAGAAAAGGAAAAAGGCAAUAACAUUUAUUGAUGCUCACUAUUUGCCAGCAAAAUUCACGUGUGUCAUCUUAUUUCAGCUUCACAACCACCCUAGGAGUAUUGGUGUGUGUUUGCAUAAUUACUGUCUUUGUUGGAGGCCAACAUUUAUCGAAUCAUUAUUAUAUGCUAAGUGCUGAGUUGGGUCCAUGAAUUAGUUCAUCACGUCAACAUUAAUGCAGAGAGAUGGCUUAUCCUUGGAGUCUAUGUGGAUGAUCUUCUAGACACAUCUACCUGUGGGUCAUGGGGAAAAAUGACGAGUGGAGCUGCCAGCUGAACCUGUGAACACUUUGGCCAAACUCUGUUGGCGGAUAUCUCCCCUCUUCCUUUGUCCAGAUGUACCAGUGCUGAGAACAUUUGAGCUUUUCUCUGUGUUGCAUAUGGACGAAAAUGGUCACCUCUACCCAAACUCUACACCGGAAUUCAAGAACUCACCACUGUCUGAGCUUUGCCUCUGGGCCUAUUCCUGGUCCAGUCAUCUGAAGGGAAGAUGGAAGAUAUGAACAUCAGGGAGGAUGCAGUUCUUAGAGAAUGUACCUUACUAGGGAGGCAACAAGAUGUCUGCUACAGAGGGGCAUGUCCGAACUUUCCAAGACAGCAAUCUUUCCAUAAGACUCCACUGCUUAAGUAUUGUGGACAGUAGUAUUACUAUUUGUCAGUAGUUGCAUUUCUAUUCCUCACAACUGUUUCUACAGGAGGAUUAUACAUCCCUGCCCUAUUGAACUCAGUUAGAGUCAUGUGACUUGCUU